rnacentral:rRNA from 1 species
GACGGAGGGGGCAAGCGUUGUUCGGAUUUACUGGGCGUAAAGGGCGCGUAGGCGGCCACCGCAAGUCGACUGUGAAAUCUCCGGGCUUAACCCGGAAAGGUCAGCCGAUACUGCGGGGCUAGAGUGCAGAAGGGGCAACUGGAAUUCUCGGUGUAGCGGUGAAAUGCGUAGAUAUCGAGAGGAACACCUGCGGCGAAGGCGGGUUGCUGGGCUGACACUGACGCUGAGGCGCGAAAGCUAGGGGAGCGAACGGG